rnacentral:rRNA from 1 species
ACGAACGCUGGCGGCGUGCCUAAUACAUGCAAGUAGAACGCUGAAGAGAGGAGCUUGCUCUUCUUGAAUGAGUUGCGAACGGGUGAGUAACGCGUAGGUAACCUGCCUUGUAGCGGGGGAUAACUAUUGGAAACGAUAGCUAAUACCGCAUAACAAUGGGUGACACAUGUCAUUUAUUUGAAAGGGGCAAUUGCUCCACUACAAGAUGGACCUGCGUUGUAUUAGCUAGUAGGUGAGGUAACGGCUCACCUAGGCGACGAUACAUAGCCGACCUGAGAGGGUGAUCGGCCACACUGGGACUGAGACACGGCCCAGACUCCUACGGGAGGCAGCAGUAGGGAAUCUUCGGCAAUGGGGGCAACCCUGACCGAGCAACGCCGCGUGAGUGAAGAAGGUUUUCGGAUCGUAAAGCUCUGUUGUAAGUCAAGAACGAGUGUGAGAGUGGAAAGUUCACACUGUGACGGUAGCUUACCAGAAAGGGACGGCUAACUACGUGCCAGCAGCCGCGGUAAUACGUAGGUCCCGAGCGUUGUCCGGAUUUAUUGGGCGUAAAGCGAGCGCAGGCGGUUUGAUAAGUCUGAAGUUAAAGGCUGUGGCUCAACCAUAGUUCGCUUUGGAAACUGUCAAACUUGAGUGCAGAAGGGGAGAGUGGAAUUCCAUGUGUAGCGGUGAAAUGCGUAGAUAUAUGGAGGAACACCGGUGGCGAAAGCGGCUCUCUGGUCUGUAACUGACGCUGAGGCUCGAAAGCGUGGGGAGCGAACAGGAUUAGAUACCCUGGUAGUCCACGCCGUAAACGAUGCUCACCGGCCCUUAGCGAUAAGACAGUUAGGGGUUAAUUGAAAGAAUUAAGUGAGCCACCUGGGGAGUACGUCGGCAACGAUGAAACUCAAAGGAAUUGACGGGGGCCCGCACAAGCGGUGGAGCAUGUGGUUUAAUUCGAAGCAACGCGAAGAACCUUACCAGGUCUUGACAUCCCGAUGCUAUUUCUAGAGAUAGAAAGUUACUUCGGUACAUCGGUGACAGGUGGUGCAUGGUUGUCGUCAGCUCGUGUCGUGAGAUGUUGGGUUAAGUCCCGCAACGAGCGCAACCCCUAUUGUUAGUUGCCAUCAUUCAGUUGGGCACUCUAGCGAGACUGCCGGUAAUAAACCGGAGGAAGGUGGGGAUGACGUCAAAUCAUCAUGCCCCUUAUGACCUGGGCUACACACGUGCUACAAUGGUUGGUACAACGAGUUGCGAGUCGGUGACGGCAAGCUAAUCUCUUAAAGCCAAUCUCAGUUCGGAUUGUAGGCUGCAACUCGCCUACAUGAAGUCGGAAUCGCUAGUAAUCGCGGAUCAGCACGCCGCGGUGAAUACGUUCCCGGGCCUUGUACACACCGCCCGUCACACCACGAGAGUUUGUAACACCCGAAGUCGGUGAGGUAACCUUUUGGAGCCAGCCGCCUAAGGUGGGAUAGAUGAUUGGGGUG